CAGAACACCGAUCGCGAAGGCAGCUCGCUAAGCUAUAACUGACGCUCAUGCACGAAAGCGUGGGGAUCAAACAGGAUUAGAUACCCUGGUAGUCCACGCCGUAAACGAUGAUUACUCGAUGUUGGCGAUACACAGUCAGCGUCUAAGGGAAACCAAUAAGUAAUCCACCUGGGGAGUACGAUCGCAAGAUUGAAACUCAAAGGAAUUGACGGGGGCCCGCACAAGCGGGGGAGCAUGUGGUUUAAUUCGAUGAUACGCGAGGAACCUUACCUGGGCUCGAACGUAAGAUGACUAUAGGUGAAAGCUUAUAUCUCUUCGGAGCAUUUUACGAGGUGCUGCAUGGUUGUCGUCAGCUCGUGCCGUGAGGUGUCGGGUUAAGUCCCAUAACGAGCGCAACCCCUAUCUUUAGUUGCCAUCAGGUCAUGCUGGGGACUCUAAAGAAACUGCCUACGCAAGUAGUGAGGAAGGCGGGGAUGACGUCAAAUCAGCACGGCCCUUACGUCCAGGGCUACACACGUGCUACAAUGGCCGAUACAGAGGGCAGCUACCAGGCGACUGGAUGCAAAUCUCCAAAGUCGGUCUCAGUUCGGAUCGGAGUCUGCAACCCGACUCCGUGAAGUUGGAUUCGCUAGUAAUCGCGGAUCAGCACGCCGCGGUGAAUACGUUCCCGGGCCUUGUACACACCGCCCGUCAAGCGAUGGGAGCUGGGGGUACCACAAGUCGGUGGCCCAACCCGCAAGGGAGGGAGCCGCCUAAGGUAAAACCGGCGACUGGCGCUAAGUCGUAACAAGGUAGCCGUA
rnacentral:rRNA from 1 species